AGUGUGAGCAUGCCUGUCGGG
rnacentral:siRNA from 1 species